CAACCAUCCGCGCCUCAAACCGCUCUCUGAUCCCCUGGAACGACGUCAGAAGGCGGUUUUCCGCGCUGCUAAUGAGAACCAACCUUAAGAGUACCCGAUCGACGCCUGGCGGGGUAGUGGGAAUCUAUAAGGAAAUUUAUCGACCCGGUAGCGCCGCCGAAAAUACACCGCCGGGUAGGUGACAAUAUUUGGCUGAGAAAUACCGCCUCCCCCGGGGUGGAUGGAGAGUAAUGGCCUAAUAUUCUGGGAUGGCGCAUUCUCGGGUGUCGUUUCCUAGCCGCGAAUGCGCGUCCCGAUGAUGGUUCGGCCACCAAUCUAAAUGGAAAUGCAAACGCUCAUUUGGGAGUCGGCCCGGUGGCCGGUGUCUCCCCUUCUUUCUUCCGCUGGCCUUCCCCGUGGUUUCCCACCGAUCGAACACCCGUCGGCCGGAUCGGCGGCGGUGGCCCGAUUAUUCCUCCUUGGCCCGGCUUCACCGGUCCCCGGGCUUAAGAAUCUGGGUGGAAGCCGGAUUUCUUUCCACCGGGACAGAAAGAUAGAGUUCGGCCCCGGAACACGUAGGAGGGAAGUAGACGGAGCCCGGCUAAUCGGACACCCAGUACCCAGGCCUUAGAUCGAGUAGAUGGCCCGAAGUAAUGGUAACUGAUCCAACUAUUGAAAAAGCGUUUCGAAAAUCAUUUUAAAAUAGCGUAGAUCGCUAGGUGGGUUUGGGGAAAAAAUAGGCUGGGCUCCGGAAGUGGCCGGGAAUUAAGCCCACCUAGCCUUCUCCAGCCGGGUAACCAUUCAAGGACGAACGGCCGGCAGCCGAGAGUAACCGGCGAGGGGUGCCGCCCCAGCACUGGGCCGCCGCCUGACCCGUACCAGGCCCAUGGGGUAAUCGGACCACCGGACGGAAUCCGGCCCCGUCCCCGGGUCAGUGGCCCAGUGACCAGAUGGCAUGUCCGGACGGACCGGCUGGGUGGCGGUCCCUCCUCCCGCCGUAGCUAGGGUGAUGAAAUGGGUUCCCCGAUGGAUAAACUAGUGGCGGACGCGGCGCGGUCGAUUUUAAUAGGAAAGCCAGCCGCCUCAAAUCUUAUUCGAAAUUUUGGAGGCUGUUGGCGGUGAAAAAAUAAAUGCUCUCGUAUAUUUCAAGGACCGAGAAACUGGAAAACCACCAUAGGUAAUUAACAAUUCCCUCCGGCUAAAAGAAAUAAACAGGCGACUAGAAAACCGGAUCUGCCCGCAGUACGAUAUGGAUCCGUCCAUUGCAGACUUUUACCAUUGGUGGAAUUGCGCGAGGAUGGAAUUAGAGUAGCCAGAGCCACCACACUAUCUAUAGUCGGAGGUAAAGGUGGCCGGUGUUGGACCGCCGGAGCCAUGGGCUCCGACCCCACUCCCGCCAGAAGAGAUAUUUGGGAAUUAAUAAUUCCGCUAAAUAAGGCGUUAGGGGUCCUCCUAACGCCUUAUAUAGCGGAAUUAAUAAGGAGGACCCGGCCCGUGUUCCGUCGGCCUUUUACCGCCAGUAACGAUGGGGUGCCGUCCGGACUGCCCAUUUAGGGUUAUUUAGGCCUUUCCCUUUAACAGCUUCUUUUAGGACGACAGGUUUGCGACGGUGUGGUCAGAGUGGAGCUUUUGGCCCGUUACCGUUCCUCCUUCGCUUUAGCUACCGAUUUAGCCCGUCUCUCCCGCCUCACACUCGACCGCGGUAAUUAUCUUGCUAGCGCGAAGACACAGCGCUGGCAACAAAUUACCCACCAGACGGCGCGAUUUGGGCCGAUUUAUCCUUAAUGGGGGCCGGCGGAGUUUCUUAGGCGCCGUAUUUUCGGCUCCCCAUGGGCCCUGUUGGUCGUCCGCAUUUUAAUUCCGUCAUCGAUCCAACGGUGAAGUUAACUGGUGGGAAAUACCGAAUUAACUGAGCGGUUGGAUCGAGGAACCAAACCUUAGACGUUUAGCAAAAUUGGUAGAUGGAACUUACCUACCAUCCGGUUUGGGAUUCUUUCUGGCAGUUUGUUUCCCCUUCCACCACCGAUAUUUCCAACCCUCAGAGACAAAUAUAUCGACCACAAAGGGAAAAGAAUUGCUAAAUAAUUAUUAAUAAUGUUUUCUGUGUUUUUCUAAAUCCAGUUUUUUCUCUAAUUAUUUGGCCAAACAUUCUCGUUUGUCUUAGCAGAAGUCUAACCAUAAAAACACAUAUAUUUAUUUAUAUUAAUUAUAAUAUAUAAAUACUAUCAAAGAAAAAAUCGUUCCUUUUCUCCAUAUACGGGGUAUUUCCAACUAAAGUAUCCUUAUUCGAGCGCACUCAAUCAAAUAAACUCAUACUGGGAAUUUAUACUAUUCCGAUGGUGGAGAAAAGACCGAAAAUUGCCAAAAAAUUAGCUAAAAACCACCGAUAGGAGAAAAUAUGGCGCCAAUAGCCGUCGAAAUUAGCGUAGAGCCUACCUCGAUGUACGCGCUAUGCCAGUACAUCGGAUGGCAAGUUUCGUCGACUGGUCCACCAACCCGCCAUCUGAUAUAUGAUUACGAAUACCAAUAUAAUUAAUUAGUCGCUUUAUACUAAAAAAUAAAUAAAUAAUAAGUAUAAAAAUGAUACCAUAAUACGUAGCCACUGAAAGUAAAGCUAUUGAUUAGCGCCACCACUUCUCGGACUCCCCUAAAAACAAUAAUAAAACAUUUAAUCGAUUAAAGAAACGGCGCUUAAAAACCACCCAGUGUCAGGCCGGUCGGAAAAGAUAUCCCACUCUGGCCACGGUUCUGGCCUGGCCGGAAUGUCUCUUACUUUUAUUCUUCCACAACGGUGAAAGUGUUGCCGUCACCUCGGGCCAGUAUAGACGCUGGAAAUGGUGAUCAAACGGCCCAUUAACACCAAGCGCCUGCCACCCCUGAUUCAUCGUUCGGAGCGGAGGGCGCCUUCACCGUCCCUGCCGGAAGAGGAAGUAAGCCUCGGAUACGUCAAAUAGCCGAAAAAGUUGCCACAGCGAUGGUUGAGCCAUCGUCUCGGAACCGAGCAGUCGCGGGUAACCGUGGUAUAUUGACAGUUACGUCAACUGCGCCUAUCCGGCUGGAAUUUUGGUGACCGGCAUGGCAUUUCUAUCCUUAUAAACAAUGGCCACCAAGAAUCGCUACUCGAAAAUCGUGACAUCCUAGAAACAUUCGCUUUGGCAUUGAUCCGGCAUAGAGAUAGACCAGGUUUAGUCCGUAGGAUGAACGAGCUUAUUUUCAUCUUCUGGGACGGUAAACACUGAAAACGCCGCAUCUGGGCUACAGAAAAUCCUGGUCAGUUUGGAAAGAUUCUCCGAUAUUGGCCGAAGGUAACAGUAUGGAUAGAGGUUUACCUCCGAAUUUCCAAUCACCCGUUUUUAUUCCGGGAAAUGCAUUUGGCCGGACCCAUGACUAACACGGUAAUCGCCACUGGUUAUCCGAAGGUGCGACUCAGUUUCGUCAUCCCGAAACUCUAGCCAAGAGAUGCCUCCACCCACGGCAUUUAUACGAGACGGAGCGCCUACACAUAUCGGAGGUGAGGUCGCGCAGUUAACUGUCACCACACUCGACCAACCAUAAAAUCAUCAUUCCUUCAUUCGCAACAUAUUGGCCACCACUUUCCCUAGACCCGGAGAGUUUUGGCUUUUGGGGUUACCUUAAAAGGCGUGGUUUAUCCAGUUCAGGUGAUUCUCCCGGCGGAUUUGAAGGAGAGAAUGGUACUGACAGACGAAAGCUCCAGACGGAUUAACAACGUUAUAAGGUUGAAAAUCUUACGAUUGGGUUUGGCUUUCGGUUCCGCGGAAAGUCGACACGUUAAACAUUGCCACAGCCAUACACUCGGCCCGCCAGCUGUGGGUAUUAUUUAACCAGCUUUACCCGACAAUUGUACCUCACAUAUAGAAUCAAGAGAAAAAUUUCCUGGUAUAAAACACGGUCCGCAUUGUUUACAGUACUUUUUCCGAUUAUCCAGGAACGGCAAAUAGCUAACACGGCUAUGGCGCAGGCGCAUUACCGGGUCUAUUAAUAAGCUUAGACAGCGGCGAUUUUCAACCGGUGUGCCAAAAUUUUGGAAGAUGACCGAUUAAAUUAUUUUGGCGAGAAGUGCCAAGCGCCCAAGCGCUCGUAUCAAAAUUAAAAUCUCUCUCAAUGGCAGGCACCAAUAUAUCAUGGUUAUAGUAAACAUAUAUAAUAUAGUAAAAAGUAUAUAGGGGAGACUGGGCUUAGUCGAUACAUAGGGUUAGUUGUUAUUUCCAUUUUAAAAAUAGGAAAUAAAAGAUAUAAUGAUAAUUUUCCGUCAGAGGGCAUAUAUUUUAAAAUGACACCAUCAACCAAGCUCUCAAGGCGCCAUUUUUAGAAGAACAUUACUUAUGUAGAGAGACGUAUUUUUUCAUCUGGUGAGUAAAAUUUCACUUCUACGUAAUUUUUUAAUAACGUCGCUAUUUAAUAGUUUC
rnacentral:lncRNA from 1 species